AGCAGCAGCCACGGUAAUACGUAGGGUGCAAGCGUUAAUCGGAAUUACUGGGCGUAAAGCGUGCGCAGGCGGUUCGCUAAGACAGAUGUGAAAUCCCCGGGCUUAACCUGGGAACUGCAUUUGUGACUGGCGGGCUAGAGUAUGGCAGAGGGGGGGUAGAAUUCCACGUGUAGCAGUGAAAUGCGUAGAGAUGUGGAGGAAUACCGAUGGCGAAGGCAGCCCCCUGGGCCAAUACUGACGCUCAUGCACGAAAGCGUGGGGAGCAAACAGGAUUAGAUCCCCGAGUAGUCCCUGUCUCUUAUU
rnacentral:rRNA from 1 species